UACGUAGGGUGCAAGCGUUGUUCGGAUUUACUGGGCGUAAAGGGCGCGUAGGCGGCGCAACAAGUCACUUGUGAAAUCUCCGGGCUUAACCCGGAGCGGCCAAGUGAUACUGUCGUGCUAGAGUGCGGAAGGGGCUACUGGAAUUCUCGGUGUAGCGGUGAAAUGCGUAGAUAUCGAGAGGAACACCUGCGGCGAAGGCGGGUAGCUGGGCCGACACUGACGCUGAGGCGCGAAAGCCAGGGGAGCGAACGGG
rnacentral:rRNA from 1 species